UGGCACAGUCAUCGCUCUGUCACAUGUUGCUGCAUCUCCUUAAGUUUGUGUGCUCUGUUCUUUCUCUUGAUGGUGAUUUCUAGUUUCACUCCAUUGUGAUCAGAUAGUAUUUAACCAAAAAAAUUAAUUUUCUUGUAAGGACUUAUCUGAGUCCUAAAGUGUGUAUUGUGUCUUAGAGAAAGAUCCAUGAGCUGCUGAGGAAAAUGGGUAUCUUGCUGUGGAGGGUUGAAGAGGCCAUGUGAUGAUCCAUUAGACUGUAGCGGAUAGAUGAGAGGAGGGGCCGGCUGGACAAAGAUUCCUCACUCUCUGUUCUCACACCAAGUUCCCAAUAUAAAAUUCUCUCAACUCUAAGUGACCUGUUAUUCUGUGGAUAUUCCACAGUCUAUCCAUUGUCUUUAAUUGCUGAAUUUGAGUUUAAAUCUGUAUGUUUUUCAUUAAACUUCCUCCUAUUUACUCGCACCA